GCCAGUCAGUGAGGUUAGGGAAAUAAUUAUCCCUGUUGGUGGCUGUGUAUAUCAACCAAGUGAAGAGGCUGAGAUCUGUAAGAAACGAAGUUUGUCUUUUUCUCCAAAUUUGGAUACUCUGUGAUACCAGGAUGUGUGGAGCCAGCAACAGGCCAGGGAAAGACUACAACUCUUGGAUUCCCAUGUUUUAAGCAGAACACUGAAAAGUGAGAGACAUAAAUAAUUUGUGGUCUGUAGAUAAUACGUUGCCAAAAGAGACGUGUUGGGGCUGUAUUGAAAAUGUGGAGCAGUGAUCCAAUAUCUACUCAUCACACUCUUUGUAGCAGGAAAUGAUAAGCAUUAAAAAGUGAUUUCUUCUGAUGGAUAAUGUUGCAAAAAGGAUUACUGACUGGAUGCCAAAUUCAAGUUCAAAUAAAGAAUUAAGCUUAUGACAUUUUUUCCCCUCUGGAAUGAAAUGCACAUAUUUAUUUUGGCUUGUGCUAACCCUUGAAAGAGAGAGAGAAAAAAAACAGCUAAUCCCAUAAUCAGCAGUGGGGACUUUCAGACCUUUAAAACAGUGAUGUAAGUAAACUUUCUUUUCCCAGAUGUUGAAGUAUUGUGGCAACACGGACAUUCUGAGUACAGGUUAAGCUUCCUCUUUUCCCAACCAUUGCCUACUCACUAAAGCAAAUACCUUAAUGCAGUAUCUAAAGUACCUGUCUUGUAUGACUUCCUGCAGGAAUGCAUCUGCAGUUGUGUUGUGAUGGGGCCAAAUGAUUUCAUUUGGUAGAAGCUUGUUGUCUUGAGCUCCAAGUUGCCCUACAAAGGAUGUCUAACCCACACUACUGCUUCAGAGUCCUGAACUUCUUCAGACAUAUUAUAAAGGCUAUGGAGAAGGAAAAGAGAAAGGAGAAAAGGUUAAAUUAAUGACUAGAAGGAGAUAAAUAAUUCAGAACCCUGGAAUGAAAGAUGAAAAUCAGUGAUAUGUGGAGCAGGCAGCAUGGAGUCUUCUUGAAGUACCAUAAAGCUGAAUGUUUGCAGUGUUACACGUGCUACCUUGCUCACAGAAGAUGAAAUAAUUGAAGGCACAGUGGGUUAUACAUAUCAUUUAUUAUUUAAAAAUAUUUUGUGAAGAUUGUGUAG
rnacentral:lncRNA from 1 species